rnacentral:rRNA from 1 species
AUACGUAGGGGGCAAGCGUUAUCCGGAUUCAUUGGGCGUAAAGCGCGUGUAGGCGGCUUGUUAAGUCAGAUGUGAAAACCGGGGGCUCAACCCGCGGCUUGCAUCUGAAACUGGCAGGCUUGAGUCUGGUAGAGGAAAGUGGAAUUCCUAGUGUAGCGGUGAAAUGCGCAGAUAUUAGGAGGAACACCAGUGGCGAAGACGGCUUUCUGGGCCACGACUGACGCUGAGACGCGAAAGCUAGGGGAGCGAACAGGAUUAGAUACCCUGGUAGUCCUAGCUGUAAACGAUGGGCACUAGGUGUGGGGGGUCAUCGACUCCCUCCGUGCCGUAGCUAACGCAUUAAGUGCCCCGCCUGGGGAGUACGGCCGCAAGGCUAAA